AUACGGAGGGUGCAAGCGUUGUUCGGAAUCACUGGGCGUAAAGGGCGCGCAGGCGGUUUGGUAAGUCAGAUGUGAAAGCCCACGGCUCAACCGUGGAAGUGCAUUUGAAACUGUCAGACUUGAGUACUAGAGGGGAAAGUGGAAUUCCCGGUGUAGAGGUGAAAUUCGUAGAUAUCGGGAGGAAUACCGGUGGCGAAGGCGACUUUCUGGCUGGAUACUGACGCUGAGGCGCGAAAGCGUGGGGAGCAAACAGGAUUAGAAACCCCAGUAGUCC
rnacentral:rRNA from 1 species